rnacentral:rRNA from 1 species
GACGAACGCUGGCGGCGCGCCUAACACAUGCAAGUCGAACGAGCGAGAGAGAGCUUGCUUUCUCUAGCGAGUGGCGAACGGGUGAGUAACGCGUGAGGAACCUGCCUCAAAGAGGGGGACAACAGUUGGAAACGACUGCUAAUACCGCAUAAGCCCCCAGGUCGGCAUCGACCAGAGGGAAAAGGAGCAAUCCGCUUUGGGAUGGCCUCGCGUCCGAUUAGCUAGUUGGUGAGGUAACGGCCCACCCAGGCAACGAUCGGUAGCCGGACUGAGAGGUUGAACGGCGACAUUGGGACGGAGACACGGCCCAGACUACUACGGGAGGCAGCAGUGGGGAAUAUUGCAAAAUGGGGGAAACGAUGAUGCAGCGACGCCGCGUGGAGGAAGAAGGUCUUCGGAUAGUAAACUCCUGUUGUAGAGGAAGAUAAUGACGGUACUCAACAAGGAAGUGACGGCUAACUACGUG